UACAGAGGCCUCGAGCGUUAGGCGGAAUCACUGGGCUUAAAGCGUGUGUAGGCGGACUUCUAAGUGCCUUGUGAAAUCCCACGGCUCACCCGUGGAACUGCUGGGCAUACUGGGAGUCUUGAGCCACCUAGGGGCGAGCGGAACAAAUGGUGGAGCGGUGAAAUGCGUAGAUACCAUUUGGAACGCCAACGGAGAAAUCAGCUCGCUGGGGGUGUGCUGACGCUGAGACACGAAAGCCGGGGGAGCGAACGGG
rnacentral:rRNA from 1 species